rnacentral:lncRNA from 1 species
AUACCAGGGAUUCGAUAUCCCAGGUUUGAUUUCUACUCGACUCGUUAAAGGGUUCAAAUUUUUACCAUGAUCAAGAGAGAUAACGACAUGAUUGAUAGUCUAAAUAAAAAAUGGGUUGACCGCCUCUACGACGAUGCGCCUAUGCGGGAGGAGGUAAAAUAUGUACUAAUACGGUUUUGGAAGGGCUUGGAUCUUUCAGAACCAUAAGUAUCGUACUACUACUAGUGGUUCAGGUGAUGUAGCAGAGGUGAAUACAAAUUUAGGUUCCGGUGAGGUGAGCGCAAAUAGUAGUUCAGAUUCAAGUUGGUUUAGUGAGGGCGACCGCGAAAGUCACCGAAUGGCUCAGUACAGUCUCUGGGCUUUUCUGCGCUUUCAUUGGAUUAGUUUCCGGAUAGGGAAGAAGGGUAGCACCAUCCCGGGUGUUAGGAUAUAUUUGUAAUGUAGAAUAUUAUGUUAAUAAAAAAACACAUGGAGUCAUUUUUGCAUCCUUGCAUCAAUACCCUAGCACCGGGUAUCCUUAACGCCUGCCACCAGGCCAUACCCGCAAUUACACCAUACCGUCGCCAUACAGUCUCAUAGACCCGCAUCUUUUAAAGAGACGAAUUGGUACGUAUGGGCUUCCGCCAUCCAUCUUAUCAUGCGAUAGGCAUCUUAUGCUGCGGCAAGCAUACUAUGAUGCGACAUUUAUAGGCGGGGAAGUAGCCUUGUAGUCUUGCUUGUUCAUCCUCGGGGAACUGAACUCCCUUGAGAUAGGAAAAAAAAAGAGUGAGGUAGUGGACAACUAAGAAAGAUUAUCUUUUCAAGGCUAGAAGUGCUAUAAAGGAAAGUAGGUAGAAGAAGGAGACAAGAACUAUCUUGCUAUACCUGAAUCAGUUUGACUCAAUGCUUGCACUUGGAUCUUUCUCCCCAGCUUCUUUCUACGAUUCUAGUCAAGCCCCGCUAGUAUGCCUCGAGAGCCUGAGCUACUCUUUUUUUUCCUUACCCAUAUAUCACAGUUAGUACCCUCAAAGCCAUUGCCUUUCAAGUAGAGCGUCUUUUCAAGUCAGUCUUGUCCCGCCUGCUCGUUAGCAAGUGCCUCGGGCCCUGCCUCUCUUUUCCAACAAUCUCAGCCGAGUGCUUCGUUCCCCUCCUUUUAGGCGAGCUACUUCGUUCCAGCCUUUCUCUUUCUAUUUUGAAACACUUUCGGCUUGAACUCUAUUCGUUUGAGCUCGCAACCCUUCUCGACCUGUCUUUUCAGACUCAUUCCCUUUCUCUUUUGAAACAAUUUUAGUUCAAGCACUGGUCGACAGACUCAUCUCCAACUAUAUUUCCGGAAUGCACUCCUAGACAGGGAAGCGCAGGUUCGAGCCCAGCUCGUGAAAAGGCCUUUGCUAUUAAAGGAGAAUGAGCCUUCUCUAUCUCCGCAACUCUAAUUGUAACAUGAUCUGGGGAAGCUGUUCAGUAAGGAAAGAUCGUAUCCGCGUAGAGCAGCUAGGGCUAGAGCAGCAAUCUUCUUACUUCCGGCUGACUGAAAGGGAGAAUAAGACUCUUUAUUUGCCUUAGUUUGCGAAAGACCCCCGGAAAUACAAAGAAGAGUAAGAAUACAGUUUCUAACAAGUAUAAAUCUCCAGAUUCAGCGAAUGGAGCAAGAGCAGGUUUAUCAGCUGGAAGUCAUGUCCCCGGCUAGCGGAGAAAUGGAACUAUCCUUGCGACUUCUUCCCUAGAUUCAUUCNNNNNNNNNNNNNNNNNNNNNNNNNNNNNNNNNNNNNNNNNNNNNNNNNNNNNNNNNNNNNNNNNNNNNNNNNNNNNNNNNNNNNNNNNNNNNNNNNNNNUCCUGUGGUUAGGACAUUGUCUUUCCAUGUCGAAGACACGGGUUCAAUUCCCAUAAGGGAUAGGUACUCAUUCCGGCCGCUUUCUGUUAGUGUUCAUUGCUGAGUGAUCGCUCGCUAUCUGGCUGGAAAAGAUGGUCCGGAAGCUUUCUCUCUCCUAGCAAGCAAGACGAGAUCACCACUUCUCUCAGUAAUGGACUUCCUUUACUUCGUAACCUUAGCCUUAGAUGUCCUUUCAUAGAUUCUCGAACCUUUGACAGACAGAAUCUCC